UCAAAUCAAUAUUUGAAGUGCAUACAAGUAAUGAUUUCCUGUUCAUGUUUACCUUGGAAACCUAAAUGUUAUUUGUACAUGUACAUAGUUUGACUGGCAAUUCUUGGUUGUUGCUUCUUCUGAGCAUUCUGUGCAGUGUUCUAUAUUGAAGUUUUAUACCAUAUAAGCAUGAGCUAAUGACCAAUGCAAGAUAAUAAGAUUACUAUGGAUAAUUGUGUCAAAGGGAAGAGACUAGAUAGGUACUACUAUACUUGUAUUUACUCCCUGAGAUACUUGAAGCUAAAUACAUGCUGCAGUUCAUAUUACUGAAAAUUUAAUAUUACAAAAAUAUUUGAAUAUGAUGCAAAGAACUUCUUGGUAUUGUCCUCACUACCUAGAGAUCAUAAGGUUUCUGUGCAAUGAAAGUCUAUUACCAUCUUGUUACAGCAUAUCAGAUGACAAAUAUAGACCUUGGAAAAUGGCAUUGAAACAAAAAAGUGAUUGUUGCAAAGGGGAGACAGUCUUGAUACCACAGAAGCCACACACCUGAGAGUCGGCACAUUAGUAAGCCUAAUAUCUGGGUUUUGGGCCAUGUGCAAUUGUAUACGCACCAGGAUCUAAUAGUUUUAAACACACUAUUAACAUUGGCAUGUGUUAUUUGAUAUGCAAUAGGUUGUGGAGAUUCUAUUCCCCAUUGCCUUCUCUACAUAGGGGGCUGGAUGUUUCCAACAUCUUCUGUCCCAGUUGAUUAUAAGGUCUAUUUUGAUUUUCAUUUUUUUUUUUAAAUUGAUUUAUGAGCUGUUGUCUUGUGGUCUGCCAAUAGUUUUAGGAAUCUUUUCAAGGAAAGACAUGGAGAACUGUAAGAUUAUAACCUAAUUUGAUUGGAAAAGCUAACUGACUAAAAUAGAAAGGUUGGAAAAAAAAAAAUUGUUUUCAUAUGUCAAAAUGAAACCUUAGAAAAUUAGCAGACCUUGUAUAAUAUGGUAGGAUUGGUAUCUGAGAUGCUUAGUACAGUGAUGAUCCUUAAUAGGAAAUGCCAGCUGAUCAGUCCAUGAAGCUGCUGAUGUACGAGACACAUCCAGAAGGGAUGAAUAAUUCUGUGAGAAUAUAUAUUUUGUAUUAAUUUUUACAGGAACUGGAUGAAUUCUCUUUGGUGCUAAUUACAAGCCUGAUUAUUAUCUGGUGUGUGCUAGACAUGAUGUACAUGAAAUUGUGAUACUGCUUGACUGUUGAAAAUAGUCAAGCAAUAUCAGUAUUGAUGCCAUACACACGUUACUGCUCUCCUAUGCAUUUUGGACAGACCACUUAGCCAUAAUGUUUGUAAUUUUCAUAAAGUGGUUCUUUUGCUGCUGCGGACAUGUACUUGGAAAGGCUAGCUGAUUUUUUUUUUUUUUUUUUUUAAUGAAAAAUUUAAUAAAUUUAAGGUUUGGUAAAUGUUUCAGUAUCAGAUUUUAAAAGUGCAGAUUUUAACCAAACAAGUUAAUGGGUUAGUGAAUCUAAUUGACUAGGAAAUGCAGGCUGGUUGAUGGUUGUAAGAAAAUAUUUUGAAUUCAUCUCCCAAAAUUUGUGAAUGUAAUACUUUUCCGGAUUAACAAAUAACUAAUAAGUUUAUUAAGUGUCUGAAGUUGAUGUAGCAAUUUUAUUGUGGAGACUAAUAUUGCAAAGCCUAUAAUCUAUAAUGCAAAUUGUUAGCGAGUCCAGAUCAAUAGAGAAUUGCCAUCAGUUGCUUUGUGAAGAUAGUUUAAUUGGAAUUGUAUGUGUAUGAUCAAGAGGGUGUUGAUAUAUAUAUUUUUUCCACAUCUUAUUCAAGGUUUUAUAUUACUUGAGUGUAAAAAAAUAAGGUAUAGAAAAUGAAGCAUACAGCUUUAUUCUGUAUUGAAAAUCCAGUUUCACACCACUGUCACUGAUUGCCAAAUUUGCCAGAAAGCCAUAUACUCCUGAUAGUUUCAGUACCUUUUACUGUUUUUUUUUGUACAACUAAGUUAGAAAUGUAAAACAAACUUUGAAAGAAAUUUAAAAGUAUUUUAUAUAUUAAACAUUUUUCCCAGUUUGUGCAUCAUUGGAGAAACAGGUCUGAUCAUAAACCAAGAUAGUGUAUGAGCUGUACAACCUGGCUUUGGAAAAAGAAAUUAUGCAUACUGUGACUGGAAUGAUGUGAGAUUAAGCAUGCCUCCUAGAAUGUGGCUGUAGUCAUAACCAAAUUGAAUGAUGUCCUUUACUCAUGCGUGUCAUCUGAUGGGUAAUAUCUCUUGGUGGUUGCUAACUUACUCUGCGUUCUGCACAGUGAGUUUGUCACCUUCCAAUGGCUAUUGUCCCUUGAUUAUUCUGAGUAUCUGAAAUAUCACUUUACAUAUAGAUGAUCUUUUUAGCAUUUUUUUUUUCUAAUGAAAACUUUCUUUUCCUCUUAAAGAUUGGUAUGUGGCCAAAAGCAAGUGCAAGCCAUGUGGGUAUAUGUGAGGCAUGCAGCCAAAUAAGCCUUGCAGCCACCCUGUAGGCUCAAACCCAUCAUGCCAGGCAAAUACCAAGCAGGGCUGCAAGCUAAGUGUUGCUAACUAUGGACAGUAUUAGACCAGUGUCCCCUUGUAAUCCAUUAAAAUGAUCAUUUUGGGGAGGAACUUUGAUUAGCAUCAGCCUCCACCUAAACUGUUUUAAAUGUUGAAGUCAUUAAGACGAGUGGAAGUAGAAGUAAGUUGAAGUGAUUUGUGAAUAUUUGAAUGUUAAUUGAUAAAUCAACCAAAAGCAGUACAUUCCCCCCAGAAUGCUGCACUUUGAACUUGCUAUUGUGAAAUUGAUGGAAUGCCCUUUAUGAUGUAGAUUGAUGAAUAAAAAUAUGAAAAGUUA